UGCCUUAGAGACUGCUGCCCACAUCCUUAACCGAGUCCCUACUAAGAAGGUUGCCAAAACACCUCACGAGAUGUGGACAGGGAAAGCUCCCUCGUUGGCACAUAUCAAGGUUUGGGGUUGCGAGGCUUUCGUAAGACGAGAUACUCACGACAAGCUUGAACCUCGAAGUGAGCGAUGUAUUUUCAUCGGCUACCCGCAGACAUCCUUUGGAUAUCUCUUCUAUAGACCGAAGGACAAUGUUGUCUUCGUUGCGAGGAGAGGAGUUUUCCGAGAGCGAGAACUCAUAAGCCAAGGAGACAGUGGGAGGCAAAUCGAACUUGAAGAGAUUCAAGAGUCGAUAGAUGAAGGAACCUCUACCGCUGGCGCUCAACCCGAGGAGGAAACUCCGGUUGAACCGAUUGACGAGUCCUUACCUCUUAGACGUUCCGAAAGAGCUAGAGUUCAACCCCAGUUUUAUGGUUUUCAUAUUACUACCUAACGGGAAACGUAUAUUAGAGAUGGUACACUAAUAAAUCCAGAGGAACCUAGUAGCUAUAAGGAAGCCAUGGCAGGCCCGGAGUCUGUAAAGUGGAAAGAGGCAAUGGAUAGCGAGAUCCAAUCCAUGUAUGAUAACCAAGUUUGGAAUUUGGUUGAUUAUGUGCCCGGACGUAAGACCGUUGGGUGCAAAUGGAUCUUCAAGAAGAAGACCGACGUGGAUGGAAACGUACACACAUAUAAAGCGCGAUUGGUUGCGAAGGGCUUUACUCAAACUCCCGGAGUUGACUAUGAUGAGACCUUCUCACCAGUUGCGAAGAUUAAAUCUAUUAGAGUGAUGCUAGCAAUUGCCGCAUUUCAUGAUUAUGAGAUUUGGCAAAUGGAUGUCAAGACCGCUUUCCUUAACGGAAAGUUGGCUGAGGAUGUUUACAUGGCUCAGCCAGAGGGGUUUGUGGAUCCGAAGCAUCCGAAUAGAGUGUGUAAGCUUGAGAAGUCCAUUUAUGGACUUAAGCAAGCGUCUCGCAGAUGGAAUCUUUGCUUCGAUGAGAAAGUCAAAGAGUUUGGAUUUGUACGAAGCGAAGACGAAUCUUGUGUAUAUGUCAAAGCCAGUGGGAGUAUAGUAAGCUUCCUCGUUCUAUAUGUCGAUGACAUAUUACUCAUAGGAAACGACAUCCCGACUCUGCAGGAGGUUAAGUCCUGGCUCGGGAAGUGCUUCGCUAUGAAGGACCUCGGAGAGGCUUCUUACAUUUUGGGAAUAAGGAUAGUAAGAGAAAGAAGUAAGAGACUAAUUGGACUUAGUCAGAAUACUUACUUAGAGAAGGUACUAAAACGUUUUAGUAUGGAAAACUCAAAGAAGGGAGAACUACCGAUACAAAGUAAUGCCAAAUUGAGUAAGACUCAAAGUCCGAGUACCGAAGCUGAGAUAGCAGAAAUGAGCCGAGUACCAUACGCUUCCGCAGUUGGCUCAAUCAUGUACGCUAUGACUUGUACUCGCCCUGAUGUAGCCUUUGCUUUGAGCAUGGUUAGUAGAUAUCAAGGGAACCCUGGCAGAGCCCAUUAGAUUGCGGUCAAGAAUAUCCUUAAGUACCUUCGGAGGACGAAGGAAUGGUUCUUAGUCCUCGGAGGGAGUGAUGACUUGAAGGUGCGAGGGUAUACUGACACCAGCUUUCAGACCGACAGGCACAACUACCGUUCACAGUCGGGCUGGGUCUUUACCCUGAAUGGAGGUGCGGUAACUUGGAAAAGUUCCAAGCUGGAAAUAGUAGCUGAUUCAACAUGUAAAUCAGAGUACAUUGCAGUGAGCGAAGCGUCAAAGGAGGCAAUAUGGUUGAAGAACUUCAUCGGUGAUCUUGGAGUUGUACCUACCAUCAAAGAGCCUGUGGAGAUUUUCUGUGAUAAUGAAGGAGCGGUUGCCUUGACCAAGGAACCGAGGGAUCAUGGUAGAUCAAGACAUAUCGACAGAAAAUAUCACUUUAUUAGACAUCGUGUAGAAGAAGGACAACUCGUAGUGAAGAGGAUAUCAUCAGAAGAUAACCCAGCAGAUCCGCUUACGAAGGGACUGAGUAGGGUUAAGCACUUGCAGCAUGCUAGGAGUAUUGGGCUGAAGGAUGAUAUUAGCAUAGAUUAGAUAGUAUUAGAAACGUGUAAUAGAUAAAUGUAAUUAACAUUUGAUGAUUAAAUAAAAGAGUUUUAUUUAUGAGUAAUGUUACUAUCUUAUGUUAAUUGUUUAACUAUUGUUUCACUUUGCAUGUUUUGACUUCCAGAAUAAUUGAGUUUAUUAGGAAUAAUCGAAUUAUUCAAAUUGUCCACAAUCGUUCAUAUGUUGGAAGUAGAUAUGAAUGAAGAUUGUCAUGAAUUGGUGUGUAGAUUGUCUAAAUGGUAUUAGACAUAGCAAAAGUUUGCUGCAACGUUCAUGAGUGCUUAUGAACUAGUUUUGAGCAUUGGAACAAACCCGCGCUUGCUGGAAUCACCUUAUGGAAUGUGAUAAAAAAGGGUGAUCGCAAGACGAUAAUAUCAUAUGGUCUUAAAACCUAGAUAUAUGGUUUGUUAUUUGUUAAUUGGUUGUACAUUGAUAAUGCGAAACCGCAUCAGUAACUUGAUGUUAUAAAACGCAUUGUUGUGUAUAGUUGAUUAAUGAAUAAGUAAAUGCAUAUAAGUCGAAGUUUAUCUGUUACUUUUAUCCUAAGAGGGUAAAAGCGAUAUCUCGGCCGCUCGAUGAUUUGAUUUGACUUAUGUGUCGUGCCCAUUCAGAACUGAAUUGAUGUGUUCGAUUAAGUUCUAUGUUAAAUGAAUCUGAAAUCGAGAAACCAAAUGCUAGACAAAUUGGUUCCAUAGAAUUGUCAGCAUGAUAUCUAAACAGAGGACUGUACGAUCCCUUAUCUAAAGGACAAGAUUGAUUAGAUCAGAGUUUGACAGCGUCUUUGAGAGCUACGAUUGCUAAUCGGAUUAUACUUGUGUAUAUAGUUACUAGACAUAUCCAAGUGGUAAACUGUUGGAAUAGUGUCUAAGGCUGCAACUAUAUUAGGCAAGUAUUUGACCCGGUUGUGCAUGGUCCUUUUGGGUUGCCUUCACCAUAGCAACUUGACAGGAUGAUUUAUUAUGAGAGAAGAAAUAUUAUUAAUAUAUUAUGAGAAUAAUAUAAGGAAUAAUAAUAUUGUUAUUUGAUUAAUAUAAGUCAUAAAUUAAUUAGGAAUUAAUUUGGUGACUUAAAGAAAUUAAUUGAAUAAAGGGCAUAAACUGUCAAUUGUAUGAUAGUUAUACAUUGGGCUAUAAUCCCUUAAUGAUAAAGGGGGACGGUUUUGGGGGCUAUGGAUAGGCCUUGAAAUCGUCCAAGGCUUAUCAUUAGGGUAUUGGAUUGCUUAGGGCCUAAGUUAUCCAAUUAGGGUUUACGGGUGAAACCCUAGGAGCCUUACUAGUAUAAAUAGACCCAAAGGGUAAAGGAAAAUCGGCACCUAUUCUCUAGAAGAAACCCUGGCCGAUUCUUGAUCCCCUCUCCUCUCUCUCAAAUCAUCCUCUUGCUAGUUGGUGUUUGUAAGCCAUUAGAGGAGUGACAAUUGUGACUCUAAAGCUACAAGGACAAGAAGACCAAGCAAGUGAUUCAAGGUAAUCUUCUAAUUCUGAUUUCUUAUGUUAUUAUACUCUAUUAGUCAUUAGAAGUCUUGGAUUCAAUGCAUGUUCAAUUAGAGAAACCUAGAUCCAAGCAUUAGGGUUUGCAUGUGCACAUAGGAAUGUUCAUAUGGCUAAAACCCAUCAAGACAGCACUUCAUUAUCUCAAAACAAUUUUCCUCGACAAAACCUAGUAUCAAUACCACUAGGGUUUAGUUUUUAACGUUAACCGCGACUAAUUAAUAGUCUAGCUAUUAUUACUAUUAUAUAAACGUUAAUCAAUACUUAGAUAACCCAUAAUAAUAGCUAAAGUACUUAUUAUAUGUUCCUAAUAACGUUGCUAUAAUUAAAUAAAAGGUAUAUUAAAUAUAGUAUAGGCGUAGCUCACUUAUAACGGGUUUUUAUUAAAAAUCGGGCUUCGCUGGAGCAGUAUUUCCGAGCCGAAAGAUUUUCUUCUUGGAUUCGUCGGGUGUUCCGGGGCUUCUUUCUCGUGCUAGGGUGGUUCCCUAGACUUGGGAGGGGCUUAGGGAGGCUAAAGAGAAGUUAGAGAGAGAAAGAAAGGCUUAUGGUGUGUAGAAAAUAUGAGGAGUUCACCCUUUAUUUAUAGGAGUUUUAUAGUAAAGUAGUCUCUAAGCUUCAUCUGUAUCUUCCGCGUACGAGCUCCGUUUUCUACGUUCUUUAUAUACACGCAUUGGUAUUUACGAGUACUACAACUUUCAUUUAGACCCCGUCGGCGAAUUCUCCUUCUAUCUCAUAUUUACAAAAACUGUGUCGAAUUCGCCGCGCUCAAAAAGUAGAGACUAAGCUUCGUCCAUAACCUUCGCAUACGAUCUCCGUUUUUGUCGAUAUUUAUAUCCACGUGUUGGUAUUUACGAGUACUACAACUUUCAUUUAUACCUCGUUGGCUAAUUCUCAAUCUAUCUCGGAUUUACAAAACUGCAUCAAAUUUGCCGCGCUCGAAAAGUAGAGACUAAGCUUCGUCCAUAACUUUCGCAUACGAGCUUCGUUUUUGACGUUAUUUAUAUCCACGCGUCGGUAAAAAUAAAAUCUACAACUUUCCUUUUUACUCUGUCGGCUAAUUCUUGACCGAUCUUAAAUUUAACAGUAGAAAGAGAUUAGACUGUUAAAUGACCGCAAAGAAUUCGUAACUCCUUCAUACGGACUCCGUUUUCGUCUGUCUUUUUACCGUUGAGUUCCUAUUAAUGAGAUCUUCAACUCUCAUUUAGGCCGCGUAAGUCGAAAACCGCUCGAACUAAAAUUCGAGUUUCGGGUCGUGCACUGCUAUGCCAAAUCUUAGAAAAAUCAUUACUUCCUCAUAUGAAGUUAGAUUUGGGCGUUCUUUUUAUGGACACUCUCGGUUUAACAUUUUCUAUGCAUUUUUUUAGAUUUCCAAGGCUAAAAGUCGCUCUAUCGUAAAUUCACUAUUUACACUUCCCGGUGUCGUGCCAGUUCCGUCGCGAAACUUCGAUGGGUCAUAACUUCUUUGUUAUAACUCGGAUUUCGACGCNNNUCUUUAUAUGUACAUAAACCUUGUAACAUAUACUACAACUUGGUUAAGAUUAUUUAUUCUAAUUAAUCUUUUGCCAAAAAGUCGUUUUCAACCCCUAUUAUCUCUAUAUUGACUAGCCCGGAUCUACGAGCGUUACACUAACAGACUUCAUUCUUUCUGUGGUUAGGAUGAUGUGCACUUAUCACCUGUCGUUGUGGAAUCUUUAACUGAUAUGUUGAAUACACAUAAUGAACACAUGCGUACCUUUAUAACAACAAAAGAAAUAGCUCACUCCAUGAACUUGGAUUCGUAUGGUGUUUGGUUAUUUGGUUUUGUCCCCGAUAGAAGUUAUGGGCCGCCGGUUCCUGGUACUUUGGGUUGUAUCGUUUGCGGUGAUGAUGCAACUGGAGCCACUUUUGAUAUUAUCGUCUACUCAAAGUCAUGCCUACCUCACCGUGUCAGUAAGCUUCAUGUAAGUUAUAUGUCGUUGCAAUAUCCAUUGUUGUUUCCAUAAGGUGAAGAUGGUCGGUCGCUUACAUUACAUCUUCACACUCGGGAUAGAAGUUUGACUAAUAACAUGUAUUAUAGUUAUCAGAUUCAUGACCUUCAUGCUAUUUACUCUCUUAUCUUACACGGUUGUCAUCUUUUCCACCAAUAUUUGGUUGAUGCUUACACCUACAUUGAGCAAUCUAGGCUUGAUUUUAUUAAGCACCACCUACAAUAGUUAUGUAUUGAAUAUGAUGCCUUAUCUAAGGGUGACACAGAUAACCAUGGCAUUGGUAGGCGUGUAUUACUCCCUACCUCUUUUGUUGGUGGACCCCAAGUACAUGUAUAAGCACUACCAUGAUGCAUUGGCCAUAUGUAGGGUUCACAGGAAACCGCAGUACUUCAUCACAUUCACCUGCAAUGUUAGAUGGCCGGAGUACAAAAGAUACAUGCACUCUGUUAGUCAACUUUAUAUGCAAAACAUACCAGAUACCAUUGCUCAGGUAUUCAAGAUAAAAGUACACACUUUUAUUAAUUUUCUUAAGGAAGACAAGAAUUUUGGAGAAGUUACUGAUGGGUUUUGAUCAUCCUUACAACCUUAAGGUGCACAUACAACCCUAGAAGCUUUGGAACUAUGUUUUCUCUAUUAUAUAUGCCAAAUGAUUUCUAAAGCCUUCACAUAUCUAGCAUGAAAUCCUAGGCACAUAAAUAACAAAAAUUCUAGAUAGAAUUACAUACCUUUUCUUGUAGUGAGUAGCUUGGAGUUUAUGAGCCUUGCACCAAUAAUGUGGUUGCCUCAAGUGGUGUUACAAAUCACCAAAACAAGUUGGAGACUCUUGAGAGAAUAAGAACACUUAUAGAAAUCGGCUCACUCUUAUGCUCACACACACUAGUGCCAAUUCUAGAACCAAGGACUCCUUUAUUUAGUAUGGAGGAUUAGGCUUAAACCGUAAUACACAUGACUCUUCAUUUACCUAGGAUCCAUGGGUUAAAAGCUCCAUGGACUAUCCAUGGACUCCAUAUACUCUUAGCCCAUACUAAAUAAAUCUUAUCUCAAUCCAUAUAUAUAAACAAGAGUCCAUAUUUAAUUAGCCCUAUUUUGAUCACUAAAUUAAUUCUUGAUCAAUACUAAUGAAAUAAUUAUGAUAUCAUAUUAAUAUAUCAUAACUAAUAAUAUAUUAAUAUAUCAUAAACAUCUUAUUCUCAAAAGUAUAUCCAUACAAGUUGUUAGGUGAAGAGCAACCCAAAUGGACCUUGUCGGGUCAGGUCAAGUUGAUACCAAAUAUAGUUACGGACUUAGACACCUUAUCCAACAGUCUCCCACUUGGAUAAAUCUGAUAACUAUAGUUACAAGUAUAACUUCAGGAACCAACUAGCAAUCGUAGCUCUUUAAAACUUUGUUGAACUAUGCAGCGCCAUUUUAGAUAAGUGAUCAUAUAUUCCUCUAUUCUCAAGAUAUCAGCCAGACAAACACAUGGAACAUUGUCUAACCUAUUGUCCAACAUUUGUUUCUCAAUCUCUGAUUUUUUUGACAUAGAACUAAAUUGAAAACAUCAAUUAGGUUCUGACUGGGCCCGACACAUAAAUCAAGACCAAAUCAUCGAGGGGCCCCGAUAUCGCUUCUAUUCCUAGAAGGAAAAGAGAAACUUCGACUCAUAUGCUUAUACUAACUACUUGUUGAAUUAUGCAUAAAAGUACGUUUGAUGACAUCAAGUUACUGAUGGGUUUUCAUACAAUCAGUGGAUAACUAACUCAUAGUCAACAACUCAUAUCUCUAGGUUUGAAGAUAUAUAUGAUAUUACCAUCUCGCGAUCACUCGAGAUAAAUUCCAUGAAGUGAUACAAGCGAGCGUGGGUUUAAUCCAAUACUCAGGACUUAUGAGUACCCAUGAAUGUUGUAGCAACCAUUGCUAUGUCUAAUGCACCUUAGACAAAUCUUACAAGCCAAAUUCAUGACAAUCUUGAUUCAUAUCUACUUCCGACAUACGACCGACUGUGGAGAGUUUGAAUAAAAUAAUUAUUCUGGAAGUCAAAACAUGCAAAAUUGAAACAAUAGUAAAUGAUCAACAUAGGAUAGUAACACUUUACUCAUAAAUAAAUAACAACUUUUAUUUAAUCAUCAAAUGUCAAUUACAUUUUACAAGUUUUAGAAAUCUAAUUAUUAAAACUAAUAUCGUCCCUCAGCCCGAUGCUUUUUGCAUGCUGCAAAUGCCUAACCCUGGUCAGUCCCUUCGUGAGGGGAUCUGCAGGUUUCUCUUCUGACGAUACCCUCUUUUCCACGAGGAGCCCUUCUUUUAUCUUGUGUCUUAUGAAGUGGUAUUUUCUGUCAAUGUGUCGGGAUCUACCGUGAUCUCUUGGCUCCUUGGCUAAGGAAACCACACUAUUGUAUAGCUGGCAUAACUCCAAGGUCUCCAAUGAAGUUCUUCAGCCAGAUAGCCUCCUUGGCCGCUUCACUCACUGCUAUGUACUCUGAUUCACAAGUAGAAUCAACUACUUUCUCCUGCUUCAAACUGUUCCAAGUAAUUGCUCCUCCGUUUAGGGUAAAGACCAAGCCUGACUGAGAGUGGAAAUUAUCCAUGUCAGUCUGAAAGCUAGCAUCACUAUACCCAAUCACUCUCAAGUCAUCACUCCCACCAAGGGUAAGGACCCAAUCCUUAGUCCUCCAUAGGUACUUGAGAAUAUUCUUUACCACAGUCCAGUGUGCCAUGCCAGGAUUUCUUUGAAAUCUGCUAACCAUGCUCAAAGCAAAGGCUACAUCAGGGCGAGUACAAGUCAUAGCAUACAUGAUCGAUCCAACAACGGAAGCAUAUGGAAAUUGACUCAUCUCAGCUAUCUCAGCCUCUGUACACAGACUCUGAGUCUUAUUCAGCUUGGCAUUGUGCUGGAUCGACAAGUCCCCUUGCUUGGAAUUAUGCAUGUUGAAUCAUUUUAACACCUUAUCCAAGUAGGUACUCUUACUAAGUCCAAUUUGUCUCUUACUCCUGUCUCUCAAUAUCCUUAUCCCUAGGAUAUAGGCAGCUUAUCCAAGGUCCUUCAUAGCGAAACACUUCCCAAGCCAAGACUUAACCUCCUGCAAAGUUGGGAUGUCAUUUCCUAUGAGUAGUAUGUCAUCCACAUACAACACCAGAAAGCUAACUAUACUCCCACUAUCCCUAACAUACACACAGGACUCAUCUUCGCUCCUCGAAAAACCAAACUCUUUGACUUUCUCAUCGAAGCAAAGAUUCCAUCUAUGAGAUGCUUGUUUCAAUCCAUAAAUGGAUUUGUCAAGCUUACACAACCUAUUAGGGUACUUUGCUUCGACAAAACCCUUUGGCUGAGCCAUGUAUACAUCCUCAGCUAACUUCCCAUUAAGGAAAGCGGUUUUGACAUCCAUUUGCCAUAUUUCAUAAUCAUGAAAUGCAACUAUGGCUAGCAAAACUCUAAUAGAUUUAAUCUUUGCUACUGGUGAGAAGGUCUCAUCAUAGUCAACUCCCGGAGUUUGAGUAAAGCCCUUCGCCACCAGUCUUGCUUUUAGGUGUGUACCUUCCCAUCCAUGUAGGUUUUUCUUGAAGAUCCAUUUGCACCCAACUGUCUUACGACCUGGUACAUUGUCAACCAAGUUCCAAACUUGAUUAUGAUACAUGGACUGAAUCUCGCUGUCCAUAGCCUCCUUCCAUUUAGCAGACUCAGGGCCCGCCAUGGCUUCCCUGUAAUUAUUAGGUUCAUCCAAAUCUAUUAGUGUACUAUCACUAAUAAAUGUAUCACCUUCAGUGGUGAUGUGAUAACCAUAAUAAAAUUCAGGUGUGUUCCUAACUCUAGUGGAACGCGUCGGAGGUACAGACUCAUCUAUCGACUCAAUAGGAGUUUCCUCCUCAGGUUGUCACUAGGGUUUGAGGUUCCUUCACCGCUUGACUCUUGAAGCUCUUCAAGGUCAAUUUUCCUCCCACUAUUUCCUUGGCAUAUGAAUUCUCUCUCACGAAAGACUCCCUUUCUUGCUGCAAAGACCACAUUUUCACUAGGUCUAUAGCAGAGGUAACCAAAGGAUCUUUGUGGGUAGUCGAUGAAAAUACACCUCUCACUUCGAGGUUCAAGCUUUUCAUGAGCCUCACGCCUCACAAAAGCCUCGCAACCCCAAAUCUUGAUGCGGUCCAGAUUGGGAACUUUCCCAGUCUACAUCUCGUGUGGUGUUUUGGCAACCUUCUUAGUAGGGACUAGAUUAAGGAUAUGGACGGCAGUCUCUAAGGCAUGCCCCCAGAAUGAGAUUCGUAACAAAGCUCAACUCAUCAUUGAACGAACCAUGUCCAAUAAGGUUCGAUUGCGCCUCUCAGCAACACCAUUCAACUGUGGUGUUAUAGGAGGUGUCAAUUGUGAGACUAUCCCACAUUCCUUAAGAUAGUCAAGGAACUCAAUACUAAGAUACUCUCCUCCCCAAUCGGAUCAGAGCAUCUUGAUAUUCCUGCCCAACUGAUUCUCGACUUCCUGCUUAAACUCUUUGAACUUUUCAAAGGUUUCUGACUUGUGUUUGGUUAAGUAGAUAUAACCAUAUCUGCUAUAAUCAUUAGUAAAAGUCACAUAGUACCGAUUAGCAUCCCUUGUGGCUGAUUUGAAGGGUCCACACACAUCAGUGUGUAUGAGGUCCACCAAAGCUUCACCCCUCUCACAAGUACCAGUGAAGGGUGACUUUGUCAUUUUUCCAAGUAAACAAGAUUCACAACUAUCAUCUGACCUUAGGUCAAAUGAUUCCAAAAUUCCAGCCUUCUGGAGUUGGCCUAUGCGCUUCUUGUUAACAUGUCCAAGACGACAAUGCCACAAGGAUGCUUUAUCUAAGCUCAUCGAAGAAUCAAUAUGAUAUACAUUAUUUCCUAAAUUGUCUAUAAUCGACACAGUUUCAUAUACACCAUCAGAAGGUAAUGCUUUAAAAUAAAACACAUCAUUAUAAAAAGCAUCAAUAACACCAAUUUUAUUAUCAUAUGAAAAGGUGAAACCUUGUUUGUACAAACUAUGAAGGGAAAUAAUAUUUCUCGCCAUUUUUGAUGAGUAACAACAUUUAUUCAAAUCUAAAGUUAACCCAUUAUUAAGAAAUAAAGAAUAAACUCCAAUAUUUGUCACAGGUGAUGCUUACCUAUAGCCCAUUCUAAGGUUUAUCUUUACGUGCUCCACUUCUUCACUACUUCUUAGGCCCUGCAAAUCUGUACAAAUGUGAAUACCACAACCUGUAUCAAGCACCCAAGAGUUAGUAUGAAAUGACUUACCAGACAAUAUAGUAUAAAUACCUGCAUGGGUGGGUUUAACUUUCCCAUCCUUCACAUCCUGCAAGUACUUGGGGCAGCUUCGCUUCCAGUGCCCCUUUUCGUAGCAGUAGAAGCACUGUGCUUCCUUUGGGUUUGAAGAAGGAGGAAUGGGACCUUUCUUGGUCCCACUUGAAGAGGAGCCAUCAAGGGACUUUCCCUUGGUACCCUUCGAAGGGGUCUUCAUCUUCUUCCCCUUUCCCUGCCCAAUUGCCAGAACAGGGGCUGCUGUAGGAGCAGGACUAGAAGUAACAGUCGACUUACCUUUAAGGCCACUUUCAGCGGUCCUUAUAAGUACUUGAAGUUUGCUAAGUGUAACUUCCUCCUUGUUCAUAUGAUAAAUCAUAUGAAAAUGAUCAUAACGUGGAGGUAAUGAAUGGAGAAUGAUAUCAAUCGCCAUGUCCUCAGGGAAGUCCACAUUAAGCUUCAGCAACUGGUCCUCGAACCUUUGCAUAUUCUGUAAGUGACCGGUGAUGGGCUGACCUUCCUUCAUUCUGGUUGUUGUCAUAGAGGAAAUGAUUUCAUACCUCUCUUGACGCACGCUCUGAUGGUACCUAUCCAUCAGAUCGAGGUGCAUCUCAUAGGGGUAGAAAUCUUCAUAGGAUUUCUGGAGUUCGGGAUUCAUGGUAGCCAACAUGAUGCAGGACAAUUUGGUAGUAUCCCUCUCAUGUGUAUUGUACUCCACAACCUCCUUAGGAUUAGCAUUGGACUCAUUGAUGACCUUAAGCUCCUUAUCAAGGAUAUAUUCCUUGUCCUCAUAGAGGGUAAUCAUCCUGAUGUUUCUAAUCCAUUCAUUGAAGUUAGAUCCAUCAAAAUUGACUUUCCUACAUAAGUUCAUGAGGGAAAAUGAGCCUGUAGGGUUUGAGCUAAUAGUAUUGUUGGAAGACAUCUGAAAGAAAGAAGCACAAGUUUAAUUAGAUGAAGAAUCCUUAAUAAGUAACCCAAAUGAAAUAUUAAGGCUAGGACCCAACAAACUAUUUCUUAACUUGGAAGGGGGAUGUCGUAAUCCAAGCUAUAAAAUAUUUGAAGGUAGGUAAAUGACGAAUUACCAAUUUCCACCAUGAAAAACAAAAUGAGUUAUUAAGUUUUAAUUGGAUUUGAAACUCCUAGAUCUUUGAGAUACAUUGAACUUUCAAUGGCAUGUUGGAAUCUCGAUUGUGCCCUCUGAAGUUUGUGACUGGGAUGCCGAAGAUCACAAACAAAGUGUGAAUAACCAUGCAAAUUGACUUAGUACCCUUAAUUUUAACACCUAAUCGAUGUGUCAGUUAACCACACGCGCUCCACCGAUCUAUGAUAAAACUUAAGUCACCUUUGCCACUCUUACUAGUCCUUGUUAGUGUGCUAGUUAACCACACAUGCUCCACUAAUGACUUGGUAGGGUACAAAGUGUAAUUUCAUGGGUUAGCACCUAUUUCACAUUUUCCUAAAGUAACUAAGAUUGGGUAUUAAUAAUGUAUAGUUACUUUAUAAUUUCAAUAUACUUUUAAUGAGGAUUAAGGUCACAUCCUACCUUUUCCGCUAAUGACCCUCCACCAGUCAAGGAAGAUGUGGGUGAGAGUGGACACCUAUUAAACUGCCAUUUUAUAGGCAGUAACCUUAUACCCCCUUAUAGACCUGCUUCGUGAAUGAGGCCUACUAAUGGUAAGACUAACAUAUUCUUAUACAUAUCUAUAUAAUUAGAAUUAUAAUAAUAGUAUAAGGGUUGAAUUUUUAAACUUUUAAAAUUCUAAGGCUUAAUUUGGAAUUAAAGUAUUGGAGUGUAAGACUUUACAAAUUCCAAAACUCGAGGGCAAGUUUUGAAACUAUUUCCCGAUGCUUCAAGUCAUAACUUAUGAGUUUAAUGGUUCAUAAAAAUGAAGACUCUUCAGUUUAUAAAACCUCUUAUUCUUUAAUGACAAUUUUAAAGAAGUGACUUUUGGUUAUCCAUAACUUGAGGGCAAGUUAUGGACACCAUCAUUAGGCAUUACGAUCACGAAUUAAUCAAACAUGUAAGUUACAAGUAAUUUCCUAUGAUCUUCUAAAACUCAUAAGAACAAAUAUUCAUAUCAAACAAUUUCAAGAAACCAUAUUCACACAUAUAAAACUUGAAAUUUGAUAAUAGCCAUUUGAAAUGGAUUAACAUAAUCAUUACCACAUUAAAAACAGAUUUUAGAAGUCCAAAACAGUUUGGGGUAAUGAUUCUAACCCAUUUCCAGCAACAAAACUCGAAAAACUGCACAACACGCACCUACUCGUCGAGUGCAUGAUCCUACUCGACGAGUAGGAUGAAUUUUGCCAUGGACUCGUCGAGUCCCCCCAUGAACUCGAUGAGUCCAGACGAACAGUGAGUAGUUUUUUGAUUUUUCAAGCAGUUUGCAUCAAGUAUACAGAAAACAAGCCUAGGCUCUGAUACCACUGAUGGGUUUUGAGCAUCCUAACAACCUUAAGGUGCACAUACAACCCUAGAAGCUUUGCAACUAUGUUUUCUCUAUUAUACAUGCAAAAUGAUUUCCAAAGAUUUCACAUAUCUAGCAUGCAAUCCUAGGCACAUAAAUAAAAAAAAUUCUAGAUAGAAUUACAUACCUUUUCUUGUAGUGAGUAGCUUGGAGUUUAUGAGCCUAGCACCAAUAAUGUAGAUGCCUCAAGUGGUGUCACAAAUCAACAAAACAAGUUGGAAACUCUUGAGAGAAUAAGAACACUAUAGAAAUCGGCUCACUCUUAUGCUCACACACACUAGUGCGAAUUCUAGAACCAAUGACUCCUUUAUAUAGUAUGGAGGAAUAGGGUUAAACCCUAAUACCCACAACUCUUCAUUUACCUAGGAUCCAUGGGUUAAAAGCUCCAUGGACUAUCCAUGGACUCCAUAUAGUCUUAGCCCACCCUAAAUAAAUCUUAGCCCAAUCCAUAUAUAUAAAUAAGAGGCCAUAUUUAAUUAGCUCCAUUUUGAUCACUAAAUUAAUUCUAAAUUAAUUCUUAAUCAAUACUAAUUAAAUAAUUAUGAUAUCAUAUUAAUAUAUCAUAACUAAUAAUAUAUUAAUAUAUCAUAAACAUCUUAUUCUCAAUAGUAUAUCCAUACAAGUUGUUAGGUGAAGUGCAAUCCAAAUGGACCAUGCCGGGUCGGGUCAAGUUGAUACCAAAUAUAGUUACGGACUUAGACACCUUAUCCAAUAGUUACUGCGUGUAUGCUCUUGUCUUUUCAUUUCAUUCUUUGUUAUACUCUUAUUUUUACAAUUUUUCUUGUCACAACUAGAAAUUUUGUGUCUUGUAAUCACUACAUUCAGGUAAAAGUGUAGAAUCAAAAACCUAAAGAGCAUGUAUGAUACUUACUCUAUGACAACAAAAUUUCAAUCCAAUACACCAUAAAAAUACCACUAAUAGUCAAUAAGCAAUUGGAAACCCUAGAAGUUCCUGUUAGGUCCAUUUUGGACUAGGACUUCCUUAUUGGACUCAAUGGGCCAAUAAGCUUCCAAUUUGACUAUCAUGGGAUUAGAACCUUUAAAUGGGCUCUAAUUGGACCCAAUUCCAUUUAAUCCAAUAUUUUGGGCCAUAAUGGGCCUAGAAUGAAAUAUAACACCCUAAUGGACCUUAUUGGGUCACAACAAACUCAUAUAGCCCUAAUGGAUCAUAAUAAUCAUACCUUGAUGUAAUUGGGCCGAAAAAUUACAUAAUUAAGUCAUAAUAUGGGCUUAAACAAAAGAAGCCCAAUAUUCUCCCUUUCCUUCUUCACUUCUCGGCCCAAACAACCCAACAUGGAAGAGGGUUGACUUUCAAGUGACACCUCACUAUUACCUCUUGGUUAUCCAUGCAACAUAUCUCAUAUUCCCAUGCAUAUAUCACCUCAAGGUCUACUUCUUCCUCUCUCUCCCAUUCUCGGCCGAUUUCAAACACACACACACACACAAUUCUCUCACAACUCUCUCAAGAAAACUCCCUCCACUCUUCAUCAAGAUCUCGAAAUUUAGAAGGUUUUUCAAGAAGAUAUUUCCACAAAUUCUUCAUCUAAGGUAAGAUUAUGCUUGGAUCUAUGAUCUAGAUUCUUUGUUUUAUCAAAAAUCUCUUCCUAAUCCAUGCAAAAAUCAUGAUCUUACAUCCUAGAAUCACCUCAAGGCCGAGAUCUUCAUCAAAGUGUGCUAGGGCCGAAAAUCACCAAAAGGACCUAAAAAAUCGAGAUUUGUGUUAUGGUGUUGAAACUAGUCAAAAAGGACCUAAAAAAUCGAGAUUUGUGUUAUGAUGCAUGAAACAAGUGCUAAAACAUAUCAUUAUACAUAAGUCAUUACUAGAAAAAUAACCAAGUUGGUUUAGAUGAACAUCUUGGGCUAAAAAUCACAUUUUUGGACUUAAAAUGCUAAGAAUAUGAAGUUUAAGGGCCCAAAAUGUCAAAAUACAAAUUCUGGAGGUUAAGAAGUGUCAAAACAGUUUCAUAAAGGAAUUUUUCCAGAAAUAUACACUUUAGAAUGUUUAAAAUGUAAAUUUCUAAACUUAAUGGGCUAAAAAUGAACUUUUCGGCCCAAUAGGGUCCAAUAUGUGAAAUUUUCCAAUUUUAGGGGCUGAAACUAUGUUUUUCUGUAAAACAGGGGACUACUAGUGUUCCAAGUCCUUUUCAAAGGUUAAAAAUGCUUUUCAUAAUUAAAAAGGACCAAAGUUGCAAAAAAUUUCCAAUUUGGGCCAAAAGUGUAAAAAUUGCAAAAAAGAGAGCUUACAGCCGAGAAAACUGUAUUUUGAGGGACUAAAACUGUUUUCAACUAAAAAUGUGCUGAAAAAUAUCAAUUUCAAUAAGUUUUGGUGUUAGAAUGCCAAGAAAAAUGGUUUAAGGACUAAACCGGAAAUUAAUUUAUUCAAAGGGUUGAAAAAGUAAAUUUACAAAAUAAAGAGGGGCUGUAAACAGAAAAAUUUCAAUGUUAAUUCAAUACAUCCGUUGUGAUCAAAUAUUGACACUGCGACUACCGACGAAUUACAACACACAACAACACCAAAAAUCGUUAUCAAACGAAUUGAUUCGGUCUCGAAUCAAUAACAAAUCUGAAACUACUAACACGACGACAACUCGAUUCAUACACGGAGAAUUUGGGAAUUCAAUAUACACGUGAGAGCGCACAGACGUCGAUACACCAUCUUUGGGCCCAAAAGUGUAAAAUCUUGUUUGUUGGGCCUAGCUAGCCCAAUGACCUGAUCUUUAGGCCUGAAGACAUCAACCUUACGAGUUGUUGGGUCUUACAUGAUCCAACACAGCGUAAAAGGACUUUCAAUGGCAACGUGCUGCUGGUCCCCAAGGGUCCUUCGGUACUGCUAGCAAAGUCGAGAAUUCACCAAUGCGAGUUGGGCUAAGGGCCCUUCGCAUUCACUAUAGCCUUGAACGACGUAGGGAAUUACCUGGGGCUUCGCACUCACUUUUUCCCCUCGGUCGUGGGGCUACAUGAGUCCGGGUGGUUGGGUUAAGUGAAUAGUGCGAGCGACGCCUAAGGGAAUCGUUUGUACGGUUGUCAACGGGUCAUUUUCAUUAAUGUACGUUUACAACAAUUCACAAUCCACAAUUAAUCCAACGUCCCCGGAGCUCAACGAAUACACCUGUCGUAACGAAAUAACGAAACAUGAAAUUAUUUAAUGCAAAGUAAUGGGAAAACGUCGGGUUUUCCUAGAGUUUUCAAUUAUUACACCUACGAAUUACAUACCAAGUUUUACAAAUCGUAUUCUUACAUUUAUAGAAACAAACAAGCAUACUUUCGGAUCUUCACACCUUUUAUACUAUACAAUUUUCAGAAAAUAUCGGAUUUUCUGGUGGUUUUCAAAAUGAUACAAAACAUUGGAUUUCAAACAUUACUUAUGAACUCACCAACAUUUCAUAUGUUCACGUUUUUCAAAAUACUUGUAUUCUCAGGUAACAGAUAAAGUGAAGGAAGAAUUGUACUCUAUGACGUUUUGUUGUUGUUUAAUUAAUAUCGAACAAUUUACUUUUGGGAAUGUAAUAUUUUGAAACAAUGUACUGAAUAUAAACGCUACCAGUUGUAAUAUUCCAAUGCUUGGUAUUGUAUGAUGUUAUGUUUCAUGUAUAUUCAUUGUGAUGGUAUUCAAUUGAGUCACGACAGCCCCCGGACGUUUCCGCCGUCUGGUUCGGGGGUGUGACAUUUCUGCCUUAGCUUAUAUUGUUGUGCUUUCACUUGAUAUGCAGAUCUUUACAUCAUCGAAUGUUAAAAGAGAGGUUUACCCCCAUUUUCACACCCUCUUAUGGGUUGCAUCACCUUUCAAAAUACAUGAGGGUGGAGAUAUAAACAAGUACACUACUGUAGAGCUCCCUAAUCCGACCCUUGAACCUGUACUAUAUAGAACUGUUACCACAUGUAUGCUACAUGGUCCUUGAUGUUUAAUAAAUACAAAUGCUCCAUGUAUGCAGGAUAAUAAAUGUAAGAAAUGGUUUCCAAAACCAUUUAACUCAUUCAAAAAAAUUUGAUGAUAAUAGGUACGUCCAUUACAAAAGGUGCCCUGGUCUGUAUCAUGUGUUACAAUGUGGUGUACGACUUGAUAAUGGGUAUAGUGUGUCGUAAAACAAACAAUUGUGUAGUCGCUUCAAUGCUCACAUCAACGUUGAACACUGUGGCUAGAACAUGAUGAUAAAAUAUUUAUUCAAGUAUGUGUCCAAAGGGGUUGAUCACGUUCGUUUUCCCCUUCAAACAUCUGAAGUGGAUAUCACUGCCUCUGGUUCUACAACACAUGUCCCUGUUAAUGAGAUUAAAUCCUUUUUAGAUGGUCGCUACAUAUGUCCGCACAAAGCUACAUGGAGGAUCCUAAAAUUUUCCAUCCACGAACGUCAUCCACCUAUACAAGUUCUAGCCGUGCAUUUGGAAAGCAUGUAGCCCACUAUUUUUAAAAAUAACAGCAAAUUAUCUUCUUUUAUUAACAUACCAGGUUUUAGUUUUACAACAUUAAUAGAAUGGAUGCGAAACAAUCAGCAAGAUUUCUGUGGGAACGACCUGACAUACAUUGAGUACUAAAAGACCCCAACACUAAAAUUACCAUAAAGCCAAUCAUGCUACAUGGAUAUUCAUAAUUAUAAUUCACAUUAGUGGUCUAAAUACAAAAGCAUGGAUACAAACCAACUACCAGGGUCUUUACAAAGUUUCAUAACUAGUUAUCUAAAUACAUAACUACCCAGGAAUUUAUAAUAUAUAUACACCAUCCCCAGACUUCUAACUGAAUGUUGCGAUAGAAUUCUGAAUUCUGAUAAAAUUACACCAUCCCCAGACUUCUAAAAACUUCAAUUAUACCCCUGGAGUUCAUAUUUCAAAUUUCAUAAGCAAUUACUCGACUAAUCUCAAGUUAUGUUGUUUUCAAUUUAGAAAUUUUAGUUUUUGUUCUUUGUAUAGUUGUCACUUGCAGCCCUUUUUUCCCCUUCUUAAAUAUCAAAAUAACUAAUAAAUUCUAAAUAUUAACAAUAUAGACUCGUAUAUAUUUCUAAUGCCACUAACCUCACAUUUUUAUGAUUUUUCUAUAAUUUAUUAUGAAUUUUACAACACAACAUCCCAAAGUUGUCAAAAUGUCCCAAAGCUUUCAAAAUUCAGCCUUACUACACUAAACAUAUAGCUGUUUUCACCCAUCUUAAGUCUAGAAUUAGAUUUUGGUGCUAAAACAAAAAUCAAAGUAGACAUUCUCAGCUUUCCAUGGAUAUAUAGAAAUAUCCAUAUGAUUUUUCUACAAAUUUUGGUGAUUUUUACAAAAACAGGACAGUUAUACCCUUUAUUAUUUCAUUUUACCCUUUACAUGAUCAAACCUCAUGAUCAAUAUCACUAAGUUCUUGUUUUACAAUGAUAAAACUUAUAUUUAGUAAUCCAUGCUAAUUCAAGUAGAAACCAUGGGUUUCAUUACUAAUUUUCACUAAUUACUCUUAAACCAUGAUUAAUUCUCAAGUUUACAUGUAGUUACUUGAUUUCCAUUUAAGAUUCUAGGUUAAUAACAUAAACUCAUGCCUACUUUUAUGAAAGUAGUGGUAAAAUCACUUUGAUAAAAUCCUAAUCUCUUAAAAAAUCACUAAUUACAAGGGUUAAUCCAAAAAUUAAGAGUUCAUACCUUGAUUACAUGAAUUGAUACUUCAAGAACACUCAAAAUAUUGAUUUAAUCUUCAAAACUUGUUCAAGAUUGAUCACGUAGGUGAAAAUCUCCCAUAGUGAUGGCGAGCAACUGAAAAUGGCAGAAAAAUAAGCCAAAAUCUUGUUUGAAUGGGUAAAAAUCCAUGUUGGGUGGGGUUUGACCCGGUUUGGGUACCCGUUUUACCCCUAAAGACUAAAAAUUGCAUAACUUUUCGUUCGAAAGUCCGUUUUCGAUGAGGUUUUCGUAUAUACGUUUCUAACGAGAUAAUUUACAACUUAUAGUAAAAAUUUCCCAGAAAAGAUCUUCCAAUAAAAUCAGUUUUACUUAUUUCCAACUUAGAUGUUAUACUUUCAUUAAUUAUGUUAUUUGACUUUUUGAUCGAAACCAUGUAAGACUUCCCACAACACUUCCAAUACCUUCCAAAUGAUUCUAAACUUAGUUUUAAAAAUAAAACUUCAAAUCUUAUAAAACUAUUUCGUAAGAAAUCAACGCUUAAAACCACCGAAAAAUAGUAAUUUUAACGCUUACAAUUCCAUUAUAUUAUAACUACCUACUUUAAAUGUUUUAAACCAUAUAAUAUCUCAUAAUAUUCAUUUUGUAAACUAACGAGCAUACGAGACAUGAUAAUUGAAAAGGUUAGUAAAGUGUAUGUUACAAGUACCCCACAAAAUAUCGUUGGUACAUGAUGGCUAAAGGUUGGAUCCAUAGGACUUUCACAUUGAAUACUACCACAACUAAUACUGCUAUCGGUCGGCUCGCAUAUGUACAUCCAACGGCUGGGAAAUUGUUUUAUUUACAAAUUUGGCUAUAUCAUCAAAAGGGAUGCAAAUCCUUCCAUGAUGUUAGAACGAUUCGUGGGAUAACACACAAUACAUUUUGAGAGACAUGCAAAGCUUUUGGACUAAACAGUGAUGAUAGAUAGUGGCUAACAGCUUUUAAUGAAGCAUCUACUUGGGCAAUGUCACCUGAGCUCCGCUCUCUAUUCUGUCAUUUACUUCUAUUUUGUGAGGUAGACAACCCUCUUCUAUUGUGGGAGGCAACAAAGUCCAAAAUGGGUGAUGACAUAACCUAUGCCUACACUUACAAUGCAUCAACUUCUAAUGUCAUCAUAUAUUCGACAACAAUAGAGUAGCAGAUACUCCUCAAAAUCCAAAAAAUAUUACUAGCAUCAACCCCAUCAAAAUCGCUUUCAGAUUUUGGGUUACCAAUGCCAUCCCCAUUUGUUCUUUCUAUACUAAAAAAUUGUCUACUUCUUGAGUAAACUAACUACAAUACCGAAUUAUUACUUUCUCAUCAUGCGUCAAUGGUAUCACAGUUGAAUCCUGAACAACUGAGAAUUACCAAGUUGUUGUUGAUGUUGAAUGCAACAAAACCUAACUUCUCUUUUUCGUAUAUGGUCACAGGGGUACGCGAAAAACAUUCCUUCGAACAACAAUACAUUUGUACUUCAGAUCCAGAGGAAAAAUUGUUCUUGUUGUUGCAACCUCAAGAAUCGCCUCACUUCUAUUGCCAUCCGAUUGAAUCGCACACUCUCGGUUUAUCAUUGUUGUUGAUCUAACCGAAAAUUCAUCCUGCAACGUUAAAAAGAAAACACAUCUUGCAAAAUUCAUAAAGAAAACGUCCAUGAUUAUAUGGGAUGAAGCUCCGAUAAGUGAUCGACGUUGCUUCGAAUUUCUUGACAGAACACUAAAAGAUGUCCUCGAAGACGAUGAACAUCUUUUUGGUGGAAUGUCAAUACCGCUAAGGGUAACUUCCGAAAAAUACUUCCUUUUCAGCCAAAAGGUGGAAAAUCAUAGAUAAUUGGCCUCAGUUUACCAAAUUCAUACUUGUGGUCGCACUUUAUUGUUUUCAGAUUGCACCACAAUAUGCUUGUCACAACCAUCCAACUUAGAUACUGAUAUCCAUCAGAUAUCACAGUUUUCCUCAUGGCUACUUGAUAUCGGAAACGGAAAUAUUGGAUCCCAAGAUAGAAAUGACUCGGAUAACACAAAUCUCAUAGAAAUACCUCAUCCAAUCCUAAUCAACUCCGUAAAUGACGGAUUGGAAACUCUAAUAGUUUUUGUAUACGAUUAUGAUAUAAUUACCAAUCCAUCGCCUGAGGAACUAUAUGUUAGAGCCAUCAUUUGUCCAAAAAAUGAAACUAUAAAUAGGGUGAAAAGUUUGAUUAAUUAUGUCAAAGACUACUGGUAAUGAAACUGUACACAACAAUUGUGACUUUAUAAAAUCAUAAUCUUGGGACACUCUAUACCCACAAAAGUAUCUAAACAAACUCCACUUCUUAGGUAUUCCUGCACACAAAUUACUAUUAAAAGUUAAUAACCGUGUGAUGUUGUUGAGCAACAUCAACCAAAGAGAAGGUCUUUGUAAUGGUACGCGCUUAAUUAUGCCACAACUAUUACCAAUUGUAAUAUAGUCAUUCAUAAAUACAGGCACAUUGGUUGGGAAACGAGUGUACAUUCCAAGAAUAAAAGUCGUACACAAUAGUACAUAUCUACCCUUCAUCUUUACCAGAAAACAAUUCCCUCUUAAAGUUUGCUACCCUAUGACCAUCAAUAAAAGACAAGGAUAAUCCCUCAAAAAAGUUGGACUAUACCUUGCACAAUAUGUAUUUGCGCACGGGCAGUUACAUGUUGCUUUGUCGAGAGCUACAUUACCAAAUUCAAUUAAGAUUUUGUUACAAUGGGAAGACGACUUUCUUUUGAAUAACACCAAGAAUGUUGUAUAUAAGGAUUUGUUGACGAUGAUUGAUAUGUGUGAGGUUUAAAUAACCUAUCCAAAGCAGAUGCUAUCUACCAAGCACCAACUUUCACAACUACUAUAUAUUUAUAUUAAAAAGUUAAAACUAAACAUUGACGAUUAUACAUCAUUCCUUAUCUAUACAACCAUGUCGUUAGAAGUUGGUAGGAUUUCAAAUCCAUGGUAUGCUUCACCAAGAAAACUGAUUGAAGUACACGUUCUAAGAAAUUGGAUACCCAGCUUUAGAAAAAAAUUUAAGAUGGUUCAUCGUAAUAGCCAAACAUGUAGUUUCAUCACAAGUCUAAAUAGUACCUUAUCAAUAUUGAUUUCAAUGUUAACAUACACUAACCUAUGCUACUUACAUAGGUAGGUGCAAUCCAAUUGCUUGCACACGACACCAAUGAAGCUCACCCUCUGUCUACCCUAUCCACAUAACAUUGUUACCGAAUAAAAGACUACACCUGCACAGUACCAGAAAAAUAUAGAAAAAAACAAAUGGAUAAACCCAUAGUAAUAAAUGAUGGUCAAGCGUCAACGAUUGACAAAAUUGCAGACUGUGACAUGCUUCCACAUAUGUGGUUCCGCUUCCACCUAAAAGCACAUUUCAACAUCACAGCAGACAAAAAUCUAGAACAACCACGUACAACAAGUAUGACAUCCACACUAUAAAAAUAUUCAAUGACUCUAAAAAAUAAAUAUUUACAUUUGAUUUUUGUUUGCACUCAUACUUUAUCGGGGUUCACAUUAGCAUGAAAGAUCGUGAGAAGAAAAACAAAGAACUGUUUGUGGCAGUUACCUUGCUUGAGCAAAGGUAUGGUUUUGGCAUUACAUGUAUAGUAAACAUGAUAUAAAAUAAUUGUUGAAUGAUUAUCCGUACUAAAACCGGUCCAAGAGGGGAGGAAAUUACCAUAUUACUAUGGAAGGAGUGCAUCGACUCCCCAGAAAAAUUCAACCGUCUAGCAAUAACAUCAUCUCAUAACAUAACCGUACUCGCCUUCACCAACGUGAAAUCCACCUUCUACAAUGGUUAGAAACAAAUCACAUGCAUUCAUCAUAUGUCUUACUACUUACAAUCUUGAGGCAAUAAAAAUAUGGUUAUUAGGCAGGGACUCUAACAUUGAUGAGCACCAGCGCAGCACACAUGUAUGUUGUAACGUCUGCAAAUUCGGGCUAGUCAAUAUAGAGACAAUAAGAGUCAAAAAUGACUUUUUGAUAGAAGAUUAUUUAGAGUAAAUUAUAUUAACGAAGUUAUAGUAUAUGUCACAAGGAUUCCGUGCAUAUAAAAAACGCUGAAAUCCUACAUAUAACGAAGAAGUUAUGACCCGUCGAAAUUUUACAACUAAACCGGUAUGACGCCGCGUAUCGUAAAAAAGUGAAUUUUUGAUAAACAACUUUUUAGCCUUAUAGAUCUAAAUGAAAUUUGUAGUAUACAUUAAACCGAGAACGUACAUAAAAAGAACGUCCAAAUCUGACUUCGUUUGAGAAAGUUAUGAUUUUUCUAAGAUUUAGCGUAGCAAUACACAACCUGAAAAUCGAAUUUUAGAUCGAUCAAUUUUUAUCCGACACAACCUAAAAUGCGAAUUGAAUAUCUCGUUAAUAGGAGCUCAUCGAUAUAACGACACUCGAAAAUGGACAUCGGAUUACAAUGUUAUGAAUUUUUAACGGACUUUAAUUGUCUGUUAAAUAUAACUCUAAAAAUAAAUUCAAAAUUAGCCGACAUAGUUUAAAUGAAAGUUGUAGACCACGUCGCUACUUACGUGUGAAUAUAAAAAAUGUCAAAAACGAAGCUCGUAUGAGAAAGUUAUGGAAUUUAGAAGAUAAUUAAUUUUAGGGUUAAGUUUCAGAGGUGACACGUGGCACCAUCUCAGCCACAACUUCUUCCGCACGCAUUGCCAUCAGAUGGUGACUCCUGGAACCCCAACACAACAUGUUGGGCUCAGUAACACACCGUAUUGCUUGAUUUCCAACCAAUAAAUAAAGGCGAAAAUCACCUCUUUUCCACACAUCUUCUAUCAACUUCUCUCCUAAACCUCCCCAAAGCCUCAAGGCUUUUCUGUAGUCCUUAUUAGGAGUUAGUAGCGAGUCCUGGAGCACCAGAAGGUUCCAAGAAGAAGAGGUUUCGACUCAGAAGUUCUCCCCGCGCAGAGCCCGGUUCCUCGCUAAACCCCCUCGUAAGUGAGUUAUGAUUACCAUACUUUAAGUAUAAGUUAUGUUUAAGUUCAUUAUCGUUAUUAUGAAUCUAUAAACAGGAUUUAUCAGUGAUUCCAAGUCGUUACACUGAUUGAUCUACUUACGAGGAUGAUGUCUAGGCUGUGAUUUAGUGAGGUGUUUAAAGUGAGAUUUUCAAACAGUAUACUACGUAUACCAAACGGACCCUACCUCCGAUAUGAUCCUACCUGGUUGUUCCUUACUUGAUAGAUCAUGAAAGUAGACUUUGAGUUAAUGAUGAAUCUAGACUAAUAAUUAGUCACAAUAGAUAUUAGACUACAAACUUACCGAUAAUAAUGUUAGGUUUUGGUCAAAGGAAAAGACGAUUGUUAGAAGCGAAGCGCUGCUCGAAUUUUGAGUCAUCGCUUUAACAAGUGAAUGCAUAUUUACUUUCAUCUUACACAUAAAUAUGAAGUAUUUAAUAUAAAAUACAUGCUAUAUGUACUUAUUAUCCAUGUUUCUGAUCUCUAUGCUAGAUGAACGAUAUAUACAUGUUUUACGUAAUUUAAACUAUAUAUGUAUUUUUAUACCUAUAAAUAUAUUGGGUAUAGAUGGGUAGAUGAACGAUGAGAGAUGAAAGAUGGUAUAGAUGAUGAGAGGUAAAAGAUGAUGAGAAGGCUUAACUUUAACGAUGAUCCAGUCAUCUAGCAGAAUAUAGAUGGCAACCACGGACUAAUCUAGACAGUCCAUUGGAACGCUAGCUAGAUCGCAACCCUUAGGUGUUUGUGAACAAUGUGUUCACCAGAUGUAUUCUAAAAACCCUGGCAACUAUGGACUUAGUGCUUUAUAAAUGAACGUUGGCAUCUAUGGAUUUAGUACCCUAUAGAUGAACAUUGCUAGCUAUGGACUUGGUGUUUAUUAGAUAAACCCUGGCAACGACGGACUUCAUGCCUAUUCCUUAGGACAAUCCUUGGGAAGGAAUGAAUGAAGAAUCGAUGAUUCUUAGGGAAGAUCCUUAAGAAUAAAGACAAUAAUAUGGAUGGGAAGCUAGGUUAAUUGUUUGAUGAUUAAACAUAAUAAUUAUAUUAUUGUGGGUUGAAAAGCCUAUGUACUCACCAGGUUUCCCAACCUGAGCCACUCAGUUUAUUUAUAUCACAGGUUUCGAUAUAAAGAUACAUUACACCGAGAGAUUAAAUGAGAUGUAAAUCAUUAGUAUAAAUGAAUGUGAGGUCUGUUUAUGUUUAUGUUUAUGUAUUGACGAUGACAUACAAAUGUUUUAAUAUAAACAAAAUAUAUUUCUUCGUAAAUGCUUUGAUGAUAUCUGUAUCAUGUUUUCUGGAAACAAAAUUUGCAUAUUAUUCUUUAAAAUGGAUACUCCGAUUUUUAUAUAGGCAUAAAUAAAAAUUUUAAAAUGACAGUGAAUUUGGGGAUAUCACAUAUGUAAACUGGACAAUACCGAAAACACAAAUACUCAUUACAAGGUAACAUAUAUCACCAUCACCACUUCCUACUUCCGGAUAUGUACAUGAAACAACUAUUAAGAAAAUUCAACAUACACUAAACAUGACACACCACAUUUAUACCAACAGAUUUGGUGAUCAGUUCCACUCCACACCCAUACCACAUGCAACAACCACGAACCUACAACACUUGAAAACAUCUGACUACCAUCAAAUUGUUGUAACAAUUGACACAUCAUCUUAAAUUAUACACAUCCAUACUUACCACUUACCAAUUUACAUUUUAAAUUUGUUGAACGAAAAAAUUUUCUUUGUAAAAACCAAAAUAUCUUACUUCACCUUCAAAGAUACUUGGUACCACAUUCCUUGCCCCCACAUGUGGCAAGUCAGCACACAAAAAAGCUUUCACACCCCCAAACAUAGUAGAGAGCCCCUGGCCGAAUUCCAUCUCCUCUCCUCUCUCUCAAAUCAUCCUCCUUGCUAUUUGGUGUUUGUAAGCCAUUAGAGGAGUGACAAUUGUGACUCUAGAGCUCCAAGACAACAAGAUCAAACAGGAGAUUCAAAGGUAUGAUUCUAGAUCUAAAUUAGUAUUGUUAUUACACCUAAUUAGUCAUUAGAAGUCUUGGAUUCAAAGCAUGUUUAAUUAGAAAGCCAAGAUCCAAGCAUUAGGGUUUUGCAUGCGCACAUAGGAAAGUUCUUAUGGCUAAAACCCAUCAGUGGUAUCAGAGCCUAGAUUGGUUUCUAUUAAAUUAUUGCUUGUUUGUUUGAAUCUUGCUUGCAAAAUUCGAAUUUUGUGUUUCUGUGUCAUGAACUUGACGUGUCCCAUGGUGGACUCGACGAGUUGGCCUGACUCGACGAGUCCAGUUGGGAACUUGACGAGUUCUAGCGUCAGGAAGAGCAAAAAUUGGGAUUUCUUGAUAUUUAUCUUAUGGAAACUUGCAUUAAUCAUAUUAGAUCAACCCUAAUCCGAUUUUUUGAUAUAUAUAUGACUAUAAUCUUGAUCUAAUUAAAGAUAUUUAUCAACUAAUAAAAUAUUUAAUUUCCUUAUAUGAUAAUUAAUUAAUUAUUUUGAUUAAAUUGGUAAUUAUCUUGUAAGAAAUCUUGAAUAAAUCAAAUAUGGAUAAUUAUGGAAUUAAUUGUUAAUUAAAAUUAUUUGUUAUUUGAUCCUCCAUGUUUUAAAUAUUUUAAAACUUGUCCUCAAGUUUUGAAAUUUAUGUUUUGUGAUUAAAAGUUUUAAUUUAGACAAUUUAAAUUUCAAACCCUAGAUUUUAAAAGUUUAAAAAACAACCCUAUACUAAUAUAUAUAUUUAUAACUAAAUGCUAGUCUUACCGUUAGUAGGCCUCAUUCACGAAGCCGAUCUAUAAGGUGGGUAUAAGGUUGCGGCCUAUAAAAUGGCGCUUAAUGGGUGUACACUCACACCCACCGCUUGCUUGAUCGGUGGAGGGUCGUUAGCCGAACGGGUAGGAUAGGGCAACCUCAUCCUCUCAUUAAAAGUAUAAUAAGAAAUACAAAGUAACUACACAUUUUUAAAAAUUUCCCAAUCCUAGUUACUUUAGGAAAAGUGAAUUGAUGCAAUCCCAUGAAAUUACACUUUGCACCUUGCUAAGAUGUUGGUGGAGCGUGUGUGGUUUACCGGCACACUAAUUGGUUCUAAGCGAAGGUGGCAAAGGGUGAUUCAUUGUUUAUCAUAGUUCGAUGGAGCGUGUGUGGUUUACCGGCACAUCGAAUAGGUGAUCGUUACAAUGAAGGCACCAUGUGAAUUUGCAUGGUAAUUCACACCCGCUUUGUGAUCCUCGGUAUCCCAGUCACAAACAAGAGGGGCAUAUCGAGAUUUAAACAUGCCAUUGAAUAGUUUCAAUGAAUCUCAUCCGAACCUAGGAAUUCUCAAUACAUUUAGGACUUAAAGUUAUGUUUUUAUGGUGGAGAAUUAGUGAAUCGUCAUUCACUUACCUUCAUAUUAUUUGCAUGUUAGAUUACGGCAUCCCUUUUCUAAUAUGUAAAUAUUGUUGUUGGAUCCUAGCCCUAAUUUUUCUUAUUGGGUGAUAAUUAGGGAUUCAUAUUCUAAUCUAUCUUUGUCCUUUCUAUUUGUAGAUGUCGAACGCAAACAACGCUGCUGCUAGUUCUUUCACAUUGAUGAGCCUUUGUCAAAAGGUCACUUUCGAUGGGACGAACUUUAGCGAAUGGAUAAGAUACAUUCGCACCAUUGCUCGCUAUGAGGAUAAGGAGUAUGUCCUCGAUGAGAAGCUCGAGAAAAUCAACCCUGAAAUCGCUACUCCGGCUGAAAUGACCGCUUUUGAAACUCAUGAGCGCGAUGCAACGAAGGUACAUUGCAUCAUGAUAGCCACCAUGAACUCCGAAUUCCAAAAGUCCUAUGAGGACAUGUACCCGUACGAGAUGCAUCAAGACUUAUUGGAGAGAUACCACCAAAACGCGAGACAAGAGCGUUAUGAGAUUUUCACUAACAUGAUUUCCGCUAAGAUGGGUCAUGGAGAGUCUCUUACCGUGCACCUGCAAAAGAUGCAAAGGUAUGUCGACCGCCUUCGCAAGUUAAAUGUUGACUUUGGGGAAGACUUGGCGAUCGACAUGGUGCUUCACUCUUUGCCUCCGAUCUACAAUCAAUUUAGGAUGACCUACCACAUGAACAAAGAGGAGGUCACCCUAAGCAAACUCCAAGGUCUCUUGAGGGUCGCUGAGAGCAACUUCAAAGACAAGUCUGUUGCACCAACUCCCAAUCCACCCGCUGCUCCUGUCUUGGCUAUUGGUCAAGGAAAGGGAAAGAAGAGGAAGGCUUCGUCUAAGAACUAUCGCAAGGUUAAAGCCCGAGAUGGUGCCUCUUCUAGUGGGACCAAAGUUGAUCCUGCUAAGCCCUGCCCUAACCCAAAGGAGGCAGAGUGCCACCACUGCCAUAAGAUAGGACAUUGGAAGAGAAGCUGCCCAGAGUACCUGCAAGCCAUCAAGGAAGGAAAGAUCAAGCCAUCUUUCGCAGGUAUAUACACAAUUAAAUCUAACGAUUCUAAUCAUGCUAUUUCUUGGGUUCUUGAUACCGGUUGUGGUUACCACAUUUGUUCUAAUGUGCAGGGACUAAGAAGAAGUAGGGAUGUGGAGCAAGGAAGGAUCAAUCUAAUCAUGGGGAACAGAAGAUCGUCGCCUGUGACCAAGAUUGGAGUGUAUUCUUUAGUGCUUAGGAAUAAUUUAUGUUUAGAUUUGAACAAUUGUUGCUAUUCGCCAGAAAUGGCUAGAAACAUCAUUUCAUUUCAUGGUUUAUAUAGACAAGGUUUUAGAUUUUCUUUUAAUAAUGAGAAUGGUUCUAUUUUGGCUUAUCUAAAUGGUGUCUUUUACUUUGAAGCUAUACCAUGUAAUGGAAUUUAUGAAACCGUUAUGAUUGUUGAUAACUUAGGAAAUGAUGUUUUGAACAUAGAUUCUUCCACUAGUAUGGAUAAAGCAUCCUUGUGGCAUUGUCGUCUUGGACAUGUCAACAAGAAACGCAUAGCCCAACUCCAAAAGGAUGGAGUGUUGGAGUCAUUCGACCUUAGGGAAGAUGACACAUGCGAGUCUUGUUUACUUGGAAAGAUGACUAAGUCACCCUUCACGAGUACGUGUGAAAGGGGUGAGGGUCUAUUGGACUUAAUACAUACCGAUGUAUGUGGACCGUUUAGAUCAACCACGAAGGAUGGGAACCGCUUCUACGUGACUUUUACCGAUGAUUAUAGUAGAUAUGGGUAUAUCUAUUUAAUCAAGCAAAAGUCAGAAACCUUUGAAAAGUUCAAAGAGUUCAAGAAUGAAGUGGAGAAUCAAUUGGGCAGGAAAAUCAAGAUGCUUCGAUCCGAUCGAGGAGGAGAGUACCUAAGUCUUGAAUUCCACGAUUAUCUCAAGGAGUGUGGAAUAGUUUCACAAUUGACGCCUCCUAGGACACCGCAGUUGAAUGGUGUGGCAGAAAGGCGUAAUCGAACCUUAUUGGAUAUGGUUCGCUCUAUGAUGAGUCGUGCUUCACUACCUAUCUCUUUUUGGGGGUAUGCCUUAGAGACUGCCGCCCAUAUCCUUAACCGAGUCCCUACUAAGAAGGUUGCCAAAACACCUCACGAAAUGUGGACAGGGAAAGCUCCCUCGUUGGCACAUAUCAAGGUUUGGGGUUGCGAGGCUUUCGUAAGACGAGACACUCAUGACAAGCUCGAACCUCGAAGUGAGCGAUGUAUUUUCAUCGGCUACCCACAGAAAUCCUUUGGAUAUCUCUUCUAUAGACCGAAGGACAAUGUUGUCUUUGUUGCGAGGAGAGGAGUUUUCCGAGAGCGAGAACUCAUAAGCCAAGGAGACAGUGGGAGGCAAAUCGAGCUUGAAGAGAUUCAAGAGUCGAUAGAUGAAGGAACCUCUACCGCUGGCACUCAACCCGAGGAGGAAACUCCGGUUGAACCGAUUGACGAGUCCUUACCUCUUAGACGUUCCGAUAGAGUUAGAGUUCAACCCCAGUUUUAUGGUUUUCAUAUUACUACCGAAGGGGACACGUAUAUUAGUGACGGUACACUAAUAAACCUUGAUGAACAUAACAGCUAUAAGGAAGCCACGGCAGGCCCGACGCCUUCGAAAUGGAAAAAUGCAAUGGAUAGAGAGAUCAAAUCCAUGUAUGAUAACCAAGUUUGGAAUUUGGUUGAUAAUGUGCCCGGACGUAAGACCGUUGGGUGCAAAUGGAUCUUCAAGAAGAAGACCGACAUGGAUGGAAAUGUACACACAUAUAAAGCGUGAUUAGUCGCAAAGGGCUUUACUCAAACUCCUGGAGUUGACUAUAAUGAGAC
rnacentral:lncRNA from 1 species